CAUCAUCGUCAUCAUCUCUUUGUAAACAAUCCUUAUCAUCAUUUUACCAUUGCACUGUUUACCUGAUCUCUUACCUGUUUAUUUGCCAUUUUCGUCAGUUGGUCGUCGAGUUUCUACUCGAGCGCAACGGCUUAGCGUUAUCUCUGAAAUGUUAAAAGUUCUUGCGUUUCUUGCUAUCUCAUUAAGCUGCUAGUUUUGUGUGUGACUGUGUUUUUGAAGGAGCACAGAGAGAGAUGGGAUCAAUCGGACCUCAUUUCUCCUAUUUUUAUGAUGUUGUGACGUCAGCGCUUUUUUUUUUAAUUUCCACCAUCAGUAAGACAGUCAGUCGAGGAUUCUCACCGGGAACAUAUAGUUGGGUUUUACAGAUAUGUUUUCUGCUUUUUGAUUGUUUCGGUUUAGAGAUAAACCCACUACGGGAUAUAUUGCCCUGGAGAUGCGGCUGCUGGCCACGGCCACAGCUACUGGGCUGUCGGACUCGGCCAGUCAGUCGGUGGUCGGCCAGAAAGGGAGCAGUUGGCCGGACUCUUGUUGACCAUGAAGACGGUGAAGCAGCGAGCUGUCCAACUUCCAGUAUGUGAUGCACCUCAACACGCUGGCCAGUCGCUCCUAUAACGACCUGAUGCAUUACCCACUCAGAUCCCGAUGUCGGGCUUGGGGCACCGUAAGGCAAUCGUUUGGGAUUUGUCGCGUUCCACUUUCAUCCGCCAGUCGACGGGGCAUAAUGCGCCGCUUGCGGCCAACGACAUCAACGACCUGACGGGCGACAUCGCCACCUGCACAGGCACUUGGCUCCACCUCUGGUCCAUCUAUAAGCGACGCACUGGCCAGCGUCAUCAUCCUGGUGAGCGAGAUUGGCCGCAGGUUCCCAACGAGGAAACGCCGCACAAGUGAGGAAGGAAUAUAAACGGCCAAGGCUCCUAAUCUCGUCGAAGAAUCGGAAGAGAAUUCCAUGACGCCAUCCGCCAACAGUUUGUCCAUCAGCUGCGGCGACAGCAGCGAACACGAAGGGCCCGACAGCACUUCUUCGCCCGUCCCGACCCAACCGAAGGAGGGGAGGAGAUUGCAUCGCUGGAACAACCGGAACAACAACAAAUGACGGAGCCGUUGCAGACGAGCCGGAGCGAUUCGAGUCUAAACUAACGUUCGUAAUGAUUAACGAGUCUAAAGUGAGGAAGAGCGCCAUCAGCAGACGCAAACGCUCAAGGCUAACGUGGUGGCCCCUUUCGUCAGCCAAUAGCCGGGAAAGAAAUCUCGCCACGUCCUGAAAGAAGGGUUGGAUUAUUUAAAUCUCAAACUGGACUGAUUAGAUUUGUGGGGGGGGCAGGGCAAUAUAAAACACAUGCUGAAGUCAGGUGUGUAGAUGAUUUCUAAAUUAGGUUUUAAACGACAGUCAUGUUUUAGCAGAUGAUGCUAAUAUAAUCGACAUUCCAAUCGGCCCUCAUUUUUCCCUCCGGUUUGCACACAAUAAAAUGCAUUUUUCUUUUUUUUUUAAUAUGAUUAUUAUUUUAGAGAGAAUUUGACUUGGGGCAGAGUUGUCUGUGCACUUGUGCAGCCUGACCCCCAUGAUUCGUCAGACGAAAAGAAAUGAAAACAAGAAAUUCUAUUGAUGAUUCCAUUGUUUCUGUACAUACAUUUGACUCCUCCCAGCUCCCAUUAUUUGCUUAUUGCAACCCAUUCAACGACGAUAAGAACCGCGCCGUUGCUUUUUUUCUUUUCCGUGUUCCUUCUGUUUAAUUUCGUGUUUCCUUCCCGUCAACAACGAAAAAACAUUUCCUGCCUUUUGGCGACGCCCCACAGUCCAUCACAGAAACAAGAAAUGAAAAGUUACAAAAAAACAUAUUUGACUGUGUGCGCGCAGUGAGUUUUUGUGUGCAUCAUGUUAUCAUGUAGACACACUCCCCCCCCUCCCCCAGCGGCUCAGCCCAGCAGAAAAAAUGGAAAAAAAAGUUGUUGACAUUACAUGGUGUUUUAUAUAAUAACAUUGUCGUCAAUUCGUCAGGGUCAAAUUUAAAAAUUGUUUGAUCGGGAAAUAUCAAUCAC